UACAGAGGUGGCAAGCGUUGUUCGGAAUUACUGGGCGUAAAGGGCGCGUAGGCGGUUCGUUAAGUCCUGUGUGAAAUCCCCCGGCUCAACUGGGGAACUGCACAGGAAACUAGCGGGCUUGAGUUCGGGAGAGGGAAGCGGAAUUCCGGGUGUAGCGGUGAAAUGCGUAGAUAUUCGCAAGAACACCAGUGGCGAAGGCGGCUUACUGGUCCGGUUCUGACGCUGAGGCGCGAAAGUGUGGGGAGCAAACAGG
rnacentral:rRNA from 1 species